GGAGAGGUGUCCGAGUGGUUUAAGGAGCACGCUUGGAAAGCGUGUGUACGGGUAACUGUACCGCGGGUUCGAAUCCCGCCCUCUCCGCCA
rnacentral:tRNA from 2 species